rnacentral:rRNA from 1 species
UACGGGGGGAGCAAGCGUUGUUCGGAUUUACUGGGCGUAAAGGGCGCGUAGGCGGUCGUGACAAGUCACUUGUGAAAUCUCCGGGCUUAACUCGGAACGGUCAAGUGAUACUGUCGGACUAGAGUACAGAAGGGGCAACUGGAAUUCUCGGUGUAGCGGUGAAAUGCGUAGAUAUCGAGAGGAACACCUGCGGCGAAGGCGGGUUGCUGGGCUGAUACUGACGCUGAGGCGCGAAAGCCCAGGGGAGCGAACGGG